UGGGGAAUAUUGCACAAUGGGCGCAAGCCUGAUGCAGCCAUGCCGCGUGUAUGAAGAAGGCCUUCGGGUUGUAAAGUACUUUCAGCGGGGAGGAAGGCGAUAAGGUUAAUAACCUUGUCGAUUGACGUUACCCGCAGAAGAAGCACCGGCUAACUCCGUGCCAGCAGCCGCGGUAAUACGGAGGGUGCAAGCGUUAAUCGGAAUUACUGGGCGUAAAGCGCACGCAGGCGGUCUGUCAAGUCGGAUGUGAAAUCACCGGGCUCAACCUGGGAACUGCAUUCGAAACUGGCAGGCUAGAGUCUUGUAGAGGGGGGUAGAAUUCCAGGUGUAGCGGUGAAAUGCGUAGAGAUCUGGAGGAAUACCGGUGGCGAAGGCGGCCCCCUGGACAAAGACUGACGCUCAGGUGCGAAAGCGUGGGGAGCAAACA
rnacentral:rRNA from 1 species